CGUCAGCUCGUGUCGUGAGAUGUUGGGUUAAGUCCCGCAACGAGCGCAACCCUUGCCCUAUGUUGCCAGCGGAUAAUGCCGGGGACUCAUGGGGGACUGCCGGUGAUAAACCGGAGGAAGGUGGGGAUGACGUCAAGUCAUCAUGGCCCUUAUGUCCAGGGCGACACACGUGCUACAAUGGCCGACACAAAGGGCAGCAAUACCGCGAGGUGGAGCGAAUCCCAAAAAGUCGGUCCAAGUUCGGAUUGGAGUCUGCAACCCGACUCCAUGAAGCCGGAAUCGCUAGUAAUCGUAGGUCAGCCAUACUACGGUGAAUACGUUCCCGGGCCUUGUACACACCGCCCGUCAAGCGAUGGAAGCUGGGGGUACCCGAAGCCGGUGGCCUAACCUUCGGGAGGGAGCCGUCGAAGGUAAACUCAGUGACUGGCGCUAAGUCGUAACAAGGUAGCCGUAGGGGAACCUGCGGCUGGAUCACCUCCUUU
rnacentral:rRNA from 1 species